UCCGUUUGAUCCUGGCGGAGGCCACUGCUAUCGGAGUUCGAUUAAGCCAUGCGAGUCGAGAGGUGCAAGACCUCGGCAUACUGCUCAGUAACACGUGGACAACCUACCCUAUGGAGGGGGAUAACCCCGGGAAACUGGGGAUAAUACCCCAUAGAUUAUGGAUGCUGGAAUGCUCUGUAGUUGAAAGGUCCGCCGCCAUAGGAUGGGUCUGCGGCCGAUUAGGUUGUUGUUGGGGUAACGGCCCAACAAGCCUGUAAUCGGUACGGGUUGUGGGAGCAAGAGCCCGGAGAUGGAUUCUGAGACACGAAUCCAGGCCCUACGGGGCGCAGCAGGCGCGAAAACUUUACAAUGCGGGAAACCGUGAUAAGGGAACUCCGAGUGCCCGUUAAAUCGGGCUGUCCACCAGUUUAAAUAACUGGUGAAGAAAGGGCCGGGCAAGACCGGUGCCAGCCGCCGCGGUAAUACCGGCGGCUCGAGUGGUGGCCACUAUUACUGGGCUUAAAGCGUUCGUAGCUGGUCUGUUAAGUCUCUGGGGAAAUCUACCGGCUUAACCGGUAGGCGUCUCAGGGAUACUGGCAGACUAGGGACCGGGAGAGGUGAGGGGUACUCCAGGGGUAGGAGUGAAAUCCUGUAAUCCUUGGGGGACCACCUGUGGCGAAGGCGCCUCACCAGAACGGCUCCGACAGUGAGGGACGAAAGCUGGGGGAGCAAACCGGAUUAGAUACCCGGGUAGUCCCAGCUGUAAACGAUGCGCGUUAGGUGUAUCGGUGACCACGAGUCACCGAGGUGCCGAAGAGAAAUCGUGAAACGUGCCGCCUGGGAAGUACGGUCGCAAGGCUGAAACUUAAAGGAAUUGGCGGGGGAGCACCACAACGGGUGGAGCCUGCGGUUUAAUCGGACUCAACGCCGGGAAACUCACCGGACAAGACAGCUGAAUGAUAGUCGGGCUGAAGACUCUACUUGACUAGCUGAGAGGAGGUGCAUGGCCGUCGUCAGUUCGUACUGUGAAGCAUCCUGUUAAGUCAGGCAACGAGCGAGACCCA
rnacentral:rRNA from 1 species